rnacentral:sRNA from 1 species
AUUAGUAGAUCUAAUGAUAGGUAGGUUGUUAUCGAACCAUUUUUAUACUCAAACUUUAAUUUUAGAAUAACACAUGGCGUUCCGCGAAACUUCCUAUGCCUAUAGCUAAGAUUACCAAAGAACCCGAGAAAUCUUAUACUUAAGCAUGCAUUAUAAACGAGUUCAAUUCAGUUCACCUUAGUAAAUAGGCCGAUUCUUAUUACACACCUAAGACCAGGCUCAUCAAAUAAUAGUUUCAACUACAGUGACUUCAUACCUAUGGCGGGUAUAUCUAUUGUCUGGAUUCAAGUUCUAGUUAAUUACUAUAGAACUAGCAUUAAGAAAAUUUAAAGAUGAAGAAUUCUACAGAUAACCUAGCAAAGAGCCGAUCUACUAAACCAUAUGAAUCCCUAAUGAGAAACCCUAACCUUAACAAGCAAACUACUCAGACGUGGAGAUUAAAACAAGCAACAUAUAUGAGUAAGAAAGCAUAAACAAUUCAGUAAAAGAAAGAGUUAGAAAAGAUCUCUUCACUGUAUUGAAAUCUGAAUGAAUCUCUGAAAACAAGGGAUGAAUAGCUUAUGUCUCUAAGAGAAAACUUGAUAAAAAGCUUGAUAGAUCUAAUGACCUCUAAUACUAUUUAU